rnacentral:lncRNA from 1 species
AGCGUUCUUUCCAUAGACGCGGAGGUAAUGUUACAAGGUGUGUUGUGUGGGUGUUAACAGGGUUUUUUUUCUCGACCUGCAAAGAGAUGGGACACGCACAGUGACCAGCCACGAGAGGCCACCGGGGCCAGCAGAGUUCCCAGGAAUUCGAUGGUUGAGACAUAAAAAGCUACCUGCAGAGGAAGCGAUAUUGAGUGAGACGCCCCCUUGUCUCUGGGCGCCAUACGACAGUGGUUGACACGCUGCGUUGAGGGCCAGAGAGACAAUUCUGAUAUCUUGACCGGACCACCCGGACACCGCUAUCUACCCCUACUCCACCCUCCUCCUUCGACGCACAGGCCACUCGUCUGUCGCCGGACUGUACAGUGACGUCACACCAGCAACAACCCGAUAAGUGACGUGACCAACGGUGUGCGAAGUGCAAGUACCUGCUUGCAUGAGGGUCAGUGGGUCACAGUCAACGGACAGGGAAGAAAAGAGGGUGCUAUUGAAAAGGAAGAAGAAAGGAGAGGGAAAGAACUGAUACGCAAGGAUAUGUUAAAAUGUUUUUCUGUUGUAUGCUCAGAGUAGAGUAACAGGUAAUAGUCUAGAAAAUAAAGACCAAAAUAAAAUUGAUCCUUCCGUUGAACGGUCACAAGUGAGGCUAGAGGUGAAUACCCUUAAGAUUAACUCAGUAGCAAUUAAUAUCCAGCCAUUAUAUUACACUAAAAUAAUGGCUUAUUCUUUACGGCUAUUUAUGAUAAGCGAACUUAGCAACAAUUCAAAAAUGUAUGCUAGCAAUAAAGCAAGAAGAAAUAACAGAAGAAUCAAGAUGUAUAUAUCAAUCUAACAGCGAUGCCAACCGUCCAGCACUGCUACUGUCGCUGCUGCUAUAAUAUGACAAAACUGGCGAGAUGUAGGAUGUGGUUUACACAUUAACAAGACGUGGCGCAACCGCACUGCACUAUGUGACACUCAGCAAUACUCGCAGUGGCUACACUACUCCAAGAAAACCGUCUAAUAACGUUUUUAACUGUUUCGGGAGGACUUUUAUCUUGAUCUCUCCAGGGUCCCUCCAGUCACGACGAAAAUCGGUCACUGUUAGAAAGCCCUCGAUACUUGAAGUCCAGCAAUCCUACUUUGCUAACCGGAGAUAAAGCAAUCAAGGCCAGCAAGACUGUCCCUAGAUAACGCCUUUAGGGACACGCGCGCUCGGACCUUUGACGCAACGUGAAGUCGAGAAGUCGAGAAGCAGUGGCCACAACGCCCUCGUCGUUCAUGACAACGCGAACCUUGUCCUCGCGAGGACGCGGCACACACGAUAAAGCCCUGUUCAUAGGAGAGUGCACCUGCCGCGAGAUGGUCACAUGACCGGCGGGCCGCUAGCCACGAAGCAGCUUCACUCCCAGUCUUUGGCAAAAAGCGACUUUUUCUUUUUAAUAACCAUGUUAUUGUUGUUGCUGUUGUCAUCAACCUGACAACCUUGUGAACUCAUAUCCGUUUGUGAUGCAUUACCGCCACCGUCACAGCUUGCCGCCAGGGUCUGCCUAUCUGUGUCCCCUCCCUCUGGCCUGCCCCUCUACCUUUGUUUAAAGGGGACAUCUUGCUAUCCUGUCAAGACACCAUUUGCCGUUCUCCAACCUGAUUAUUCUCCCCUCAAACAAAGUGUGCCCCCUCCCACCCCUUUCAUGGCAAGCGAAAUCUACCCGAGAUCGUGUCCGCUGGGUACGUAAAUGUCACCAGCAUACGCUUCUGGCGGUCGUUGGGUGGCUCAAUACUCCACGCUGUCCCUGUCACCUGCGUUAGACAGACAUAGGGGAGAUGAGAGACCGUGACAGACAAUGAGAGGAGAAAGAGAAACAGAGUAUUCAAACCAAGAGACAGAGAGAGAGAGAAAAAAAACAUAAACUAGAGCAGCCAUGUUGCCGAAGCCACGUGUCGCCGACCACACCUUGUAGUCUGUGGACUCGGACUUCGAUCGCUAAACAAGCAACGGGUUUGGCUUUCUUGCCUUCAACGUUGCACACCCGCUUAUCUGUACAUGUUAGAGUGAGUGAGAGGGUGGGAUGGUGGGUGAGUGGAGUGAAAUAAAAGUACUGUCUUUUAUGUGCGUGUUUUUUGUACGUACGUGUACGUGCUUGUGUGCCUGUUCGUCUGUGUGAGUGUCGCAGAUGGGCGCUAACCCACAGAGUUGUUAUUUUCCUAUUGUUCGCGGUCUUCUCCAAUAUCUCGUGUUUAUUUUAAAAGUCUAGUGGGGUCCAUUUUUUGACAGCGACUUGGCAAAGUUAUGUGCAAGAUGCCAUUUACCAAAAUUUGGCUGAACACCUUCUCUUCGUCGUUUUCGAGAUGCACCUGUACGAUCAUCACCAAUGCUCUGAAGAGGUCAUGUUCGAUGUUUUUCUAGAGAUAACUUAGUAUGGUCCCAGUUUUCGUGCUGG